rnacentral:lncRNA from 1 species
GGGCCCGGAGUUGUACAGAGAGUUUUGUAAAGCGGCCGCGCCCCCUGCCUAGCAGCGGGGUUAUGCUCUUUUAUUUCAUUUUAUAUCAUUUAAGUUUUUUUUCCGGGUUUCCCAUAAUGAUUUUUUUACCUAUUCUUUUUUUUCCUUUUUUUCCCUUUUUUCUUUUCCUGUUUUUUUCCCUCAUCCCUUCCCCUAUUUUUCGUCUCUUUUUAACCCUUUUCCUUUUCUCUUCCCCCUUUAUCUCCUUUAUUUUUUACUUUUUAUUUCUCCUUUUUUUUCUUUUUUCCUCUUUUAAUCCUCUCCGUUUUUUUCCCUUUUUAUGCUAUUUUUUUCUUUUUCUUUUUUAUUUUUUUAUUUCAUUUUUUUUCAUUUUCCCCUUUGUUUUUUCCUUCUUUUCCUUUUUCUUUGUUUUUCCCCCUUUUCCCUUUAUUUUCCUAUAUUGCUUUUUCAUUUUUCAUUUUUCCUUCUUUAUUUUUCUUCUUUUUCCCUUUUUCUUUUUUGUCCCUUUCCCUUUACUCCUUUUUUUUCUCCAUUUUCUUUUUUUUUCCCUUUUUCCCCUUUUCUUUUCUUUUUUUGCUUUUCCCCCUUUUUUAUUACCUUAUCCCUUUUUCCCCUUUUUUGCUUUCUUUUUCCUUUUGCCUUUUCAUUUUUCUUCCCCUUUCCCCUCUUCUUUCUCUUUCCCCCCUUUUUCUCUUCUGAUUUUCCUUUUGUCCUCUUUUAUUUCCUUUCUUCCCCUUUUUUUCCUCCUUUUGCCCCCCCCCACCCCAUUUUCUCCUUUCGCUUUUUCUCCUUUGCCCAUUUAAUUUAUUACGACAACCCCCCCCACACCCCACCAUGAGGAGCAGCCGCUCUUCCUCCCCCCUCCCACCCCCCUCCACCCCACCAGGGCCGUUCGUUACCGACGAACUCUGUAAUUAAUUAUUAAUUAACGCCGCAGACGUUAAUUGAGGCGGCGCUGUGUGUGAAUAAAGGACGGAUGGCACCGCCGCA